rnacentral:lncRNA from 1 species
CUGGAACGAAGAAGUGGGAUGUUGAUGAAAUCUUUUCAGGAACUCGCUCAAAUCAGCUUAAUCUUUUAGCAUAUCCUAUCCAAAUCAGAAGUCCUGAAGAUUUCUUUGCACUGAGUGCGGAGUCUUACAUUUACAGUUUGGAUCAUUCGUCCUGGUCUAGUUUGUCACAAUCAUCGAAAAGUUCUGCUUUAGGUGACUUUGAUGGUGUCAGCUCAGUCAGCGCCAAAGCAAAUGCAAGGCUUUGGAAGUUUGGAGCAUUGUUUACAGCAGUGACUGCCGUGACCCAGUGUGCAGCUGAGUGAGCUUGCAGCGCCCAGGCACUUGUGGGCCAAGACGGCUUUCCAAG